AAUCUUUAAUUUGCUUAGGCUGAUAUUUAUGCUGACAAAGAGCAUGGUGGGAGAUCCUUUAGAAAUGAAGCUGUUCUCUCAUCAAUGGGUAUACCUCAAAUUGCUGUUGUGUGUGGGCCAUGUACAGCUGGUGGGGCUUAUAUACCUACAAUGUGUGAUGAAGCUGUUAUUGUGAAAGGUUCUGGAUUAUUAUAUUUAGGGGGACCACCUUUAGUUAAGUGGGCUGUAUAUAUGGAUGUGAAUCAUUAGGUGUGACUGAGACAAA